UUUUUAUGUCUUUUAUUUUAUAUAGCAUUUUAUUUUAUGCAAUAAUUUAACGCAAUGUUAUAGGUAAUAAACGAAUCAAUAAGUUAAACUAGAUCUGCUACAUCACGUUAUGUUAAGAAUAGUAAAACAAGAUUAAAGUAAAAAUCACACAAUAAGUAAUGCUGAAAAUAGUAAAAAUUAUACAUAAGGGACUUUGAAAAUGCAAUAAACUUUAGUGAGGAUUGAUGUUAGACGUUAGCCUUGGAGAAUAAAUCUGAUAUAGAAAAUUUAUAUCAGAUAUAUUAAAAGCUUUCGACACAUUUCACAACUAUCUCCUACUUCUAAAAUUAAAAGCUUAUAGAAUAGAUGACUAACUCUACAAUUGGAUUUGAAUGUUACCUUAGAGAUCGGCAUUAGAGUAUCAUUGUUGGGGGUACAUGCUCAGAAUGGAUAAUAGUAAAUAGUAGGGUCUCCUAUGAUAUAUAAUAAAGAUUUUUCUGAUUCCGUUUUAGAUGUUGUAUCUGUAUUUACAGAUGAUACUGGGAUCUUCAUUGACAGUAAUUUGACUUUUAUUUUGUAAGUACUAAGAAUAACACUGCCAAUAAAGUUGUAGGAAUGAUCAAAAGAUCCUUUAUCAAUAUCUUAACAUUUCAUACUUUGUUUAUUUUCCUUGUUCGUCCUCACCUAGAUUCUUGCAGCUCUGCCUACUAUCCUAGACUUCAAAAAGAUCAACAAUUAAUUUAAAAUGUUUUUGGUCAGACUGGACUCACUUACAACCAACUACUUCUGAGACUAAAUUUAACUAGCAUGAGCUAUCGUUUCUUCAGUAAUGACAUGGCAAAAACUUACAAAUGCAUCCACAAUCUUUAUAAUUGUAGUUGCAACCCUUUUGUUUUCUCAUUAAAUACCAUUCAGUAUUUUAUCUAUCAACACUUGUGUCAGAAUGAUGCCAUCUGCACAGUCAUUGUAUUUAUUAUUAUAAUUACAGACCAAUAAGUAGUUAAUCUGAGUUGUAAUAGCAUGCGUGUUAAUAUGGCCACUUCUUAAUAUUAAUAUAUGAUUAUGUAUUUAGUUAGUAUUUAUUAUUAUCUUUUUUAAGACAGAUUUUUUUUCCAUAUUAGAAAAGCUUUUUUAAAAAAGCUUUUCUAAUAUGGAAUUCACAAAAUUGUAGAAUAGUCUACCAUCUGAAAUAGUGUUUAACAUCUGUCAAGACAUUUAAAAAACAUCUAGAUGCAUCUUGGGUUCAUCAAAUGUACAAUUGCAUAUAAACAAUUAGACCGACACAAUUAGAUACAAUAGAACAAAAGGUUGAUAGGCUUUUUUAUUUACCUAUUUAUUCUAUUUUUAAAAUUAUAACCUUAGAAAAUAAUAAUAAUAACAACAUUAAUAAUAAUAACAAAAUGUUAUAUCAAAACUCUUAUAAUUAAACACCGAAUAAUUAAAAUUAAUUAAACACCGAAUAAGUUUUAUGUUUAUUUUUUUAGUGUUGUAUAUUAAAAACACUUUUUUUCAGUGUUCCAUAACUGAGAAAAAUAUUCUAUGCCUGAUUAACUCAUUCAAUUGAGCAUGAGAUCUUAAUCUGAUGCUAAUUUGAAUCUCGUAGUCUUGGGGUUAAUAUUUACUUAGAGCCUCAAGUUGUUUAUCUUCCUUAAUAUAUUUUUUAAAUAAGAAAAUGUUAUCAUAGAAACCUUUUCAAACCGCGCAAACGUUAAAAUUCACUUUUUUUUACUAACCAAUAAUUAAACUCUACUUGUAAUAAAAAGUGAUUACAUUAAAAAUUAAGAAAUGAAACUCAAUAAUUUUUAGACUAAUAUUUUCAGUUAAAAAAAAAUAAUAACCUAAAAAAAAAAGUUAAUCUGAAGUUUUUUUAUAUCAUAAAUUUAGUUGUGAUUAUUUUUUAGCUGAUGUACUGUUAAACUGAAGGUGGUAAUAAAGUUUACAAAAUUUGUAUUGGCUGAAUUUUUCAAAGAAAAAACAAUAUGUAUACGAUGAAUGUAAUCUGUUUUUCAUGGCGGAUCAAUGAAAGUUUGGUGUAUUGGCUAAAUCACUUGCAAGCAUCUUGCCUUUAGGCUGCCAUACGUAAAGUCACGCUUUUAAAAGUAACUGAAAGCAACUAAAAAUAAGAAUUUUUUUGAUAAUUGCUUUAUUUACAAUAUUUUUUUUGUUUUAUUUAGAGUAUUGUCUUUGUUUUUUAUCUAAACAGCUGUUUGACUCAAAUAUAGUAAAUGUUGAUUGUUUAGUAUGGUUUAUCUUAUUCUUUAUACUUUUUUUUGACAGUUAUGAGACUGCUUUAGAACGGAAUUAUGUAAAAGGAUGCAGGUUACAAAAAAAGUGACACUGAUGAGAUUGUCUCUCAGUUUCUCAAAGAUUGAAGAAAUCUUUAGUGUUUUAGGGUUUGGUGAUUCCAUCAGAGCUUUGCUUGACUAUCUCUUUUGAUUUAUUGAAUUUAUUUGCCGGUUAUAGAGGAAAAAAAUCAUCUCGAAGUCUAAAUCUCGAAGAAAAAUUAUUGGACAAAGACACCUCAUGAAUCAAUAGUAUAUAUCAGUGAAUUGAUAUUAGUUAAUAGUUUUUGGAAACAGUACCAUGUACUAUUAAAGUUUCUAAUUUUUAAAAUAUGAUACAUUUAUAUGAAACAUACAAACAAAUGAUACAAUAUGAUACGUGAUUGACUAUAAUUAUGUUGUAUAACAGAAUGUUUUAUAUAAAUGCUUAUUACAUUUUAUUGUGAUUUUUAUCUUUUAUGCCCAGUUAGCAAUGUAUUUUGUUUAGAAAAGACUGUUAAUCUCAGAUAUCUAUGACAUCUGUAGGGUGUAUUCACCGCUACAGAUGUCAUGAUCUAUUUAUAACCAAUUGCUUUUACUCUUCCAUAAUGUCAUAUUUUAAUAAGAAUCACAUUAUGUAAAACCGUCUAAUACAUACACAUGAGGAACCAUUAUACUUUUAGUACAACCAAUUAUAUUACAUUUGUUUUCUUAUUUUAGAUGAACUUUCUUACUUCGGUUGGAGGAGAUGAGAAACAACUUACAGCGGCAAUUUUAAUACAGCUAAUGGCCAAAGAAGUAUGUUUUUCAUAGUCAGUGAAUGGAAGGAAACAAAAACAUUCUGGAAGGUCGUUAUAGAAUUGCGUUUAGUCAUUUAUCGUUGUAUUGGUUCAUUUCUAAAUCGCUACUGACAAAAGUAUUAAA